GCUAGUAAUCGCGGAUCAGAACGCCGCGGUGAAUACGUUCCCGGGUCUUGUACACACCGCCCGUCACACCAUGGGAGUCGGGAACGCCCGAAGUCCGUAGUCUAACCGCAAGGAGGACGCGGCCUAAGGUGGGUUCGAUAAUUGGGGUGAAGUCGUAACAAGGUAUC
rnacentral:rRNA from 1 species